rnacentral:lncRNA from 1 species
AAUCCACUGUCUAUUUGGAGAGCUUCUUCCAGAAAUUCAUCUGCAAAUCCACUGAACACAUUGCCUGAUUUCUCUCCAGUGGAUUCUCUGAAGCUUCUUCCUUCCCGUUCCCCUCUUCGCAUCAUCUCUGGUCUUCCGGCGAGGUAAAAUUUCUGUAACAAACACACCAAAGAAUUUUAAGGCUUCUUGUUCAAAUCAGUAAUUAAAUCGUUAUACUCUGUUUUUUUUUUUGUUCAACUUACUCUGGCGAAUGGAUCGAUUUGAUUGGCAACAUUGCGUGUGUCAACGAACACGAUCAAGAUGAGAUCAGACUGUCCACGGUUGUACAUCCAGUGAGAAACUCCAGCCGGGACGACAAGGAGAUCGCCCUCUCUGAACUCGCGGAUCUUCUGGUGCUGGUCUCUGAAGUUUCCAGACGACUGCGAUCUUCGUAGAUCGGUUUCAUAAGUCUCGGGAC